rnacentral:rRNA from 1 species
CCUACGGGGAGGCAGCAGUGAGGAAUAUUGGUCAAUGGACGCAAGUCUGAACCAGCAAUGCCGCGUGCAGGAAGACGGCUCUAUGAGUUGUAAACUGCUUUUGUACGAGGGUAAACGCAGAUACGCGUAUCUGUCUGAAAGUAUCGUACGAAUAAGGAUCGGCUAACUCCGUGCCAGCAGCCGCGGUAAUACGGAGGAUUCAAGCGUUAUCCGGAUUUAUUGGGUUUAAAGGGUGCGUAGGCGGUCGGAUAAGUUAGAGGUGAAAUCCCGAGGCUCAACUUCGGAAUUGCCUCUGAUACUGGUCGGCUAGAGAGUAGUUGCGGUAGGCGGAAUGUAUGGUGUAGCGGUGAAAUGCUUAGAGAUCAUACAGAACACCGAUUGCGAAGGCAGCUUACCAAGCUACUUCUGACGUUGAGGCACGAAAGCGUGGGGAGCAAACAGGAUUAGAUACCCCUGUAGUC